GAUGAACGCUGGCGGCGUGCCUAAUACAUGCAAGUCGAGCGAACAGACGAGGAGCUUGCUCCUCUGACGUUAGCGGCGGACGGGUGAGUAACACGUGGAUAACCUACCUAUAAGACUGGGAUAACUUCGGGAAACCGGAGCUAAUACCGGAUAAUAUAUUGAACCGCAUGGUUCAUUAUUAAAGACGGGUUUGCCUUUCCCUUUUAGUUGAUUCCGCGCCGCAUUAGCUAGUUGGUAAGGUAACGGCUUACCAAGGCAACGAUGCGUAGCCGACCUGAGAGGGUGAUCGGCCACACUGGAACUGAGACACGGUCCAGACUCCUACGGGAGGCAGCAGUAGGGAAUCUUCCGCAAUGGGCGAAAGCUUGACGGAGCAACGCCGCGUGAGUGAUGAAGGUCUUCGGAUCGUAAAACUCUGUUAUUAGGGAAGAACAAAUGUGUAAGUAACUAUGCACGUCUUGACGGUACCUAAUCAGAAAGCCACGGCUAACUACGUG
rnacentral:rRNA from 1 species